CAGAGAUAAGCAAUGCUCUUUCAGACCUGGCUCCCUCAUAUCUCUCUGGUGGAAUUCUGCUUGCUUCACUGCAAGGUGAAGGCAGUGCUGCACUCGCCGGGGCUCGCUGGGUGCUCUGGGCGUGCUGCUUGCACUGCACAUUUUAUGGAGGACUGGAAUUUCUGGUGGAGUUCUGCUCGGCUGGGGCUCAACAGUGCAAUGCUCCAUACGUGUGUUUCAUAAGGGACAGUCACCGUCCAUGUGAACCUGUGUGACGUGCAGGAAGAGCUGCAAGACCACGUUGACUGAAUAUGCACCUCAGCACUUGUGUACGUGGAUUUGGGUCUGACAAAAUCCUUAAACAGCUGCUCAGCAUUCAGCUGUGAGUGACCAUUGAAAUGCAAAGCGUGUGCUUCCAUCUCUUGCCAGACUGCAGCCCCCUUGCUCAUAGCUUGGCUUGAACUGGAGCAGUGUAUGUGGCUGGAGAUGGUGCACGUACACAGUGCCUCCUAUGUCACAGUCUGACAAUACAAACUAUGACAAAUGGAGCACCACACUGCUCCCAGGAGGUAAGGAACCAUUCUCCUGGCACAAAUGAGAAGGAGGCAGAAUAAACGCAGACACAUUUGGUAAUGUUUGCAUGCUUAAAAAACCACAUAGGAACGGUCCAGAAAUUCCUACAUGUUGAAGAUCAGUGUUAGUGCUAUGGCAGGGUUGCUCAGAUAGAUGGUUUGAGUGGCAUUACCCACUGAAUAUAUGAGUGCUUCAACAAAGGAUGCUACUUCACAUUACAGUUCAUAGGCUGCCUGGGCUGCUCACAUCACCACUGCCACUGAAAUGAGAGGUGUCCAUGUUUAAGGCCACUUUAUGAGCAGUAGUUAAAGGCAGCUUAAAGGCAGCACCACCACAGCCACUGCAGCACACCAUUCAACCUUUUUUUGGCCAAACUCUUCUGGUCUGUAACACAAUCCUGCCUCUGUAUUUGGUACAUUUUAGAACAGCGUGGUUUUAGCAGUACAAAUACCAGAAGGAUUAAAAGGAUAAUUAAGAAUAAGGAGAUUAUCUGCUGCCUUUCAAGGUGACAAAGAUGAUCUCAGGGUAAAUACCAAUAAAACGAAACCCAGGAUAUUGUAGUAGAAGGAAAAUCAGAGGUAUUACCGAGGUCAGAUAAUAAGUGACACUACUCCUGUGGAGGUGUUGUGCAUUCCAGUUGUGCAGACUGAGUGAGUGAUGAAAAACCCCACAAAGCUUCACGUUUUUGCAUUUUUAUCCGAGUAUUUCAAGAUGUGCUCAGCCAUUGCACCACCUCACAGGACACAGUGAAGCAACCAGGAUGCACUGACACCAGCCUUAGCAAACAGUGGGCAUCUAUGCCAGCCUUAUUUCUGUGCUGUUUUUAGUGAAGGUGUUGGGUAACUGAUAAUAAACUCAAUUUGUUUAAGCACAAAGCAAUCAUGCUACAUUAAGACAGUGAAAAUUAUUCUUCUUGUCAGCUUGUAGAGCACAGAUAUUGCAUUGGCCACGCAGGAAAUUCAUGUAAUCUCUUCUUAAAUCUGUGUUUCAGGGACUGUGCUGAUGGUAUGGCUUGAGUCCUUUCCAACAUGCUAACCCUGUUCAGUAUGGAAAUUAGUUUUAGCUGGUUUCUUGGAAAAGGAGGCAAAAGUUUUCUGUUAGCAAACAAAAUCAGGUUAAAGAGAUAUAACAGGCUGUGUUCUCCUCUGACCAAAGCCAAAGACACAAUUCCUAUUAACACGAAAGCCAGCAAUACUAAACCCACGGUCUUGAAAGGAAAUACCGGUGAUGUUGCACCUGUGGAAUAGCAGGAGCACGCUCUGGAUGCUGGAAUACACUCUGCCCUUUGUUCAUGCUUAGAAUUACUUAUUGCCAUAUUCACAUCGUGUUCAGUUCUGUUUAAUUGCAG
rnacentral:lncRNA from 1 species